rnacentral:rRNA from 2 species
GGGUUGUGAGGUUAAGCGACUAAGCGUACACGGUGGAUGCCCUGGCAGUCAGAGGCGAUGAAGGACGUGCUAAUCUGCGAAAAGCGUCGGUAAGGUGAUAUGAACCGUUAUAACCGGCGAUGUCCGAAUGGGGAAACCCAGUGCAAUUCGUUGCACUAUCGUUAACUGAAUACAUAGGUUAACGAGGCGAACCGGGGGAACUGAAACAUCUAAGUACCCCGAGGAAAAGAAAUCAACCGAGAUUCCCCCAGUAGCGGCGAGCGAACGGGGAGCAGCCCAGAGUCUGAAUCAGCUUGUGUGUUAGUGGAACGGUCUGGAAAGUCCGACGGUACAGGGUGAUAGUCCCGUACACCAAAAUGCACAGGCUGUGAACUCGAAGAGUAGGGCGGGACACGUGGUAUCCUGUCUGAAUAUGGGGGGACCAUCCUCCAAGGCUAAAUACUCCUGACUGACCGAUAGUGAACCAGUACCGUGAGGGAAAGGCGAAAAGAACCCCGGCGAGGGGAGUGAAAAAGAACCUGAAACCGUGUACGUACAAGCAGUGGGAGCACCUUCGGGUGUGACUGCGUACCUUUUGUAUAAUGGGUCAGCGACUUAUAUUCUGUAGCAAGGUUAACCGUAUAGGGGAGCCGCAGGGAAACCGAGUCUUAACUGGGCGUUAAGUUGCAGGGUAUAGACCCGAAACCCGGUGAUCUAGCCAUGGGCAGGUUGAAGGUUGGGUAACACUAACUGGAGGACCGAACCGACUAAUGUUGAAAAAUUAGCGGAUGACUUGUGGCUGGGGGUGAAAGGCCAAUCAAACCGGGAGAUAGCUGGUUCUCCCCGAAAGCUAUUUAGGUAGCGCCUCGUGAACUCAUCUUCGGGGGUAGAGCACUGUUUCGGCUAGGGGGUCAUCCCGACUUACCAACCCGAUGCAAACUACGAAUACCGAAGAAUGUUAUCACGGGAGACACACGGCGGGUGCUAACGUCCGUCGUGAAGAGGGAAACAACCCAGACCGCCAGCUAAGGUCCCAAAGUCAUGGUUAAGUGGGAAACGAUGUGGGAAGGCACAGACAGCCAGGAUGUUGGCUUAGAAGCAGCCAUCAUUUAAAGAAAGCGUAAUAGCUCACUGGUCGAGUCGGCCUGCGCGGAAGAUGUAACGGGGCUAAACCAUGCACCGAAGCUGCGGCAGCGACACUAUGUGUUGUUGGGUAGGGGAGCGUUCUGUAAGCCUGCGAAGGUGACCUGUGAGGGUUGCUGGAGGUAUCAGAAGUGCGAAUGCUGACAUAAGUAACGAUAAAGCGGGUGAAAAGCCCGCUCGCCGGAAGACCAAGGGUUCCUGUCCAACGUUAAUCGGGGCAGGGUGAGUCGACCCCUAAGGCGAGGCCGAAAGGCGUAGUCGAUGGGAAACAGGUUAAUAUUCCUGUACUUGGUGUUACUGCGAAGGGGGGACGGAGAAGGCUAUGUUAGCCGGGCGACGGUUGUCCCGGUUUAAGCAUGUAGGCUGGUUGUCCAGGCAAAUCCGGAUAAUCAAGGCUGAGGUGUGAUGACGAGGUACUACGGUGCUGAAGUAACAAAUGCCCUGCUUCCAGGAAAAGCCUCUAAGCAUCAGGUAACAUCAAAUCGUACCCCAAACCGACACAGGUGGUCAGGUAGAGAAUACCAAGGCGCUUGAGAGAACUCGGGUGAAGGAACUAGGCAAAAUGGUGCCGUAACUUCGGGAGAAGGCACGCUGGUGUGUAGGUGAAGUCCCUGCGGAUGGAGCUGAGACCAGUCGAAGAUACCAGCUGGCUGCAACUGUUUAUUAAAAACACAGCACUGUGCAAACACGAAAGUGGACGUAUACGGUGUGACGCCUGCCCGGUGCCGGAAGGUUAAUUGAUGGGGUUAUCCGUAAGGAGAAGCUCUUGAUCGAAGCCCCGGUAAACGGCGGCCGUAACUAUAACGGUCCUAAGGUAGCGAAAUUCCUUGUCGGGUAAGUUCCGACCUGCACGAAUGGCGUAAUGAUGGCCAGGCUGUCUCCACCCGAGACUCAGUGAAAUUGAACUCGCUGUGAAGAUGCAGUGUACCCGCGGCAAGACGGAAAGACCCCGUGAACCUUUACUAUAGCUUGACACUGAACAUUGAGCCUUGAUGUGUAGGAUAGGUGGGAGGCUUUGAAGCGUGGACGCCAGUCUGCGUGGAGCCAACCUUGAAAUACCACCCUUUAAUGUUUGAUGUUCUAACGUUGGCCCCUGACCGGGGUUGCGGACAGUGUCUGGUGGGUAGUUUGACUGGGGCGGUCUCCUCCCAAAGCGUAACGGAGGAGCACGAAGGUUAGCUAAUCCUGGUCGGACAUCAGGAGGUUAGUGCAAUGGCAUAAGCUAGCUUGACUGCGAGCGUGACGGCGCGAGCAGGUGCGAAAGCAGGUCAUAGUGAUCCGGUGGUUCUGAAUGGAAGGGCCAUCGCUCAACGGAUAAAAGGUACUCCGGGGAUAACAGGCUGAUACCGCCCAAGAGUUCAUAUCGACGGCGGUGUUUGGCACCUCGAUGUCGGCUCAUCACAUCCUGGGGCUGAAGUAGGUCCCAAGGGUAUGGCUGUUCGCCAUUUAAAGUGGUACGCGAGCUGGGUUUAGAACGUCGUGAGACAGUUCGGUCCCUAUCUGCCGUGGGCGCUGGAGAAUUGAGGGGGGCUGCUCCUAGUACGAGAGGACCGGAGUGGACGCAUCACUGGUGUUCGGGUUGUCAUGCCAAUGGCACUGCCCGGUAGCUAAAUGCGGAAGAGAUAAGUGCUGAAAGCAUCUAAGCACGAAACUUGCCCCGAGAUGAGUUCUCCCUGAGACUUUAAGUCUCCUGAAGGAACGUUGAAGACGACGACGUUGAUAGGCCGGGUGUGUAAGCGCAGCGAUGCGUUGAGCUAACCGGUACUAAUGAACCGUGAGGCUUAACCUUACAACGCCGAAG